rnacentral:rRNA from 1 species
AACGAACGCUGGCGGCAGGCCUAACACAUGCAAGUCGAACGCCCUAGCAAUAGGGAGUGGCGCACGGGUGCGUAACGCGUGGGAAUAUGCACUUGACUGCGGAACAACGUCGGGAAACUGACGCUAAUACCGCAUAAUGUCUUCGGACCAAAGAUUUAUCGGUCAAGGAUUAGCCCGCGUCUGAUUAGCUAGUUGGUGAGGUAACGGCUCACCAAGGCGACGAUCAGUAGGGGGUCUGAGAGGAUGAUCCCCCACACUGGGACUGAGACACGGCCCAGACUCCUACGGGAGGCAGCAGUGAGGAAUAUUGGACAAUGGGCGCAAGCCUGAUCCAGCCAUGCCGCGUGAGUGACGAAGGCCUUCGGGUUGUAAAGCUCUUUCAGAUGCGAAGAUAAUGACGGUAACAUCAGAAGAAGCCCCGGCUAAAUUCGUGCCAGCCGCCGCUGUAA